AUUGAACGCUGGCGGCAUGCUUUACACAUGCAAGUCGAACGGCAGCACGGGCUUCGGCCUGGUGGCGAGUGGCGAACGGGUGAGUAAUACAUCGGAACGUACCCAGUAGUGGGGGAUAGCCCGGCGAAAGCCGGAUUAAUACCGCAUAUGCCCUGAGGGGGAAAGCGGGGGACCGAAAGGCCUCGCGCUAUUGGAGCGGCCGAUGGCUGAUUAGCUAGUUGGUGGGGUAAAGGCCUACCAAGGCGACGAUCAGUAGCUGGUCUGAGAGGACGACCAGCCACACUGGGACUGAGACACGGACCAGACUCCUACGGGAGGCAGCAGUGGGGAAUUUUGGACAAUGGGCGAAAGCCUGAUCCAGCAAUGCCGCGUGUGCGAAGAAAGCCUUCGGGUUGUAAAGCACUUUUGUUUGGAAAGAAAAGGUUUGGGUUAAUACCCUGGACUGAUGACGGUACCAAUCGAAUAAGCACCGGCUAACUACGUGCCAGCAGCCGCGGUAA
rnacentral:rRNA from 1 species